GACGAACGCUGGCGGCGUGCCUAAUACAUGCAAGUCGAGCGAAGCGGCGGAUUGGUGAGUAACGCGUGGGUAACCUGCCCUUAAGUCUGAGAUACCAUUUGGUACCUGAUGCUCAUACUGGAUAGUAAAGGAACGACUUUCGAUGCAUUAGCUAGUUGGUAAGGUAACGGCUUACCAAGGCGAUUAUGCAUAGCCGAGUUGAGAGACUGAGCGGCCACAUUGGGACUGAGACACGGCCCAAACUCCUACGGGAGGCAGCAGUAGGGAAUCUUCCACAAUGGACGAAAGUCUGAUGGAGCAACGCCGCGUGAGUGAAGAAGGUUUUCGGAUCGUAAAGCUCUGUUGUUGGUGAAGCGGUAAUCAACCAGAAAGUCACGGCUAACUACGUGCCAGCAGCCGCGGUAAUUC
rnacentral:rRNA from 1 species